UGAGGAAUAUUGCCCAAUGGACGCAAGUCUGAGGCAGCGACGCCGCGUGGGUGAAGAAGGCCUUCGGGUCGUAAAGCCCUUUUCUGUGUGACGAGAACGGACGGUAGGACAGGAAAAAGUCUCGGCUAACUACGUGCCAGCAGCCGCGGUAAAACGUAGGAGGCAAGCGUUAUCCGGAGUUACUGGGCGUAAAGCGUGCGUAGGCGGGUCGGUAAGUGGGUCGUGAAAGCGCCGGGCUAAACCGGGCGAGGACGAACUAGACUGCCGGUCUAGAGGCGGAUAGAGGGGUGCGGAAUUCCGGGUGUGGCGGUGAAAUGUGUAGAGAUCCGGAGGAACACCAGUGGUGCAAACGGCGCCCUGGGUCCGAACUGACGCUGAGGCACGAAAGCGUGGGGAGCGAACG
rnacentral:rRNA from 1 species